ACCAUCCACUAUAAAUUGGUACUCAUCAGCAGUGGCGCAUGCAAUUCCCCACGUACCAAAUUCGGCUGUAAACAUGAUGAGGCAGCAGCCAACUAUUGGAGUGAUACUAGUCCUGCAGCUUCUGACGCUAAUUUCUGCGUUUGGACUACCAGUCAACCACCAACUAGUAGUGUCUCCAAGCGGUGCCACUUUCGCAGGCAGAAAAUGUGUCUUCUCUAAAGGAGGUGGUACUGGUGGACUCUUUGGAGGCGGUGGUGGCCUAGGAGGCGGUGGUGGCCUAGGAGGCUUAGGAGGCGGUGGUGGCCUAGGAGGCUUAGGAGGCGGCGGUGGCCUAGGAGGCUUAGGAGGCGGUGGCGGUGGAAGCUUUGGGAGUAACGGCGGAGAAAGUGGGGGCAGCGGAAAUGGCGGUGGUGAAAGUGCUGGCGGGGGUAAUGGAAGCGGUAACGGUGGUGGUGGUGGGGGCGGUGGAAGCAGCAAGGGUGGGGGCGGGUGGGCUGCAGCGGUGGUGGUAAUAAUGGCGGUGGGUAUGGAGGAGGAGGCAACAAUGGCGAUGGAAGUUCUGGAUCGGGAUAUGGAUAUGGAUACGGUGGUGGUGGUGGUGGUCGAUCGAGAUAGAGGAGGCAUUUGGAAUGGGGAAGGAUAUGAAGUAAGUUUAUGAAAUGAACGAGAGAUCGAGCUACUUACUAGAUGAUAUGAAUCUAUAAAUGUGACUGUGGGAGGGCAAGAUAAAAUGAGUACGUGCGUGAGUAAUAAUACAAUGUCCCGCAAUAAAAGAAAUUUGAGUGUUCAUGAUGAUGAAGUUAGGUUAGUUGGCACCUAAUAAUAAUACAUAUAAAAAAUUGUUUGCCGAAACAAAAUAUGGAAUUAGAAUAUGAGCCUGCCGAAUUUUAAAUAAAAUCGGGUAAUUUGUCCCUUUUGCGUUUUACCAAGCUCACAAACAAGGCAGUCUAUUAAGCAAUGCUUAUUUUACUAGCUCAUACUUUGACCAACUUCACAAUUGCGUACUCAACCCCUCGCUUAAUCUUCCUACCAAGCAGAGCCACAUCAUCAAUUCAGGCCACAUGGCCGUCGAGAAAUAUCAUAUUUUU
rnacentral:lncRNA from 1 species